CUACGGGACGCUGCAGUAAGGAAUAUUGCACAAUGGGGGAAACCCUGAUGCAGCAACGCCGCGUGGACGAAGAAGGCCUUCGGGUCGUAAAGUCCUUUUCUGAGGGAAGAGGAAGGACGGUACCUCAGGAAUAAGUCUCGGCUAACUACGUGCCAGCAGCCGCGGUAAAACGUAGGAGGCGAGCGUUAUCCGGAUUCACUGGGCGUAAAGGGCAAGUAGGCGGUUGUUUAAGUUAGGUGUGACAUCUCUCGGCUUAACUGGGAGGGAGCGCUUAAAACUAGGCAACUAGAGGGCGGAAGAAGGGGGUAGAACUCCAAAUGUAGCGGUGGAAUGCUCAGAUAUUUGGAAGAAUACCAGUGGCGAAGGCGACCCCCCGGUCCGUGCCUGACGCUGAGAGGCGAAAGCUAGGGUAGCGAACGGGAUUAGAUACCCCCGUAGUC
rnacentral:rRNA from 1 species